AUUGAACGCUGGCGGCAUGCCUUACACAUGCAAGUCGAACGUCAGCGGGUCCUUCGGGAUGCCGGCGAGUGGCGAACGGGUGAGUAAUGCAUCGGAACGUGCCCGGAAGUGGGGGAUAACGUAGCGAAAGUUACGCUAAUACCGCAUAUUCUGUGAGCAGGAAAGCAGGGGACCUUCGGGCCUUGUGCUUUCGGAGCGGCCGAUGUCGGAUUAGCUAGUUGGUGGGGUAAAGGCCUACCAAGGCGACGAUCCGUAGCGGGUCUGAGAGGAUGAUCCGCCACACUGGGACUGAGACACGGCCCAGACUCCUACGGGAGGCAGCAGUGGGGAAUAUUGGGCAAUGGGCGAAAGCCUGACCCAGCGACGCCGCGUGGGUGAUGAGGGCCUUCGGGUUGUAAAGCCCUUUCGUGCGGAAAGAACAGCCCUGUAGUUAAUACCUGCAGGGUUUGACGGUACCGCAGGAAGAAGCACCGGCUAACUCCGUGCCAGCAGCCGCCGUAAAAC
rnacentral:rRNA from 1 species